GGUUUUGUGGUGUAUUGGUUAGCACUUUGGACUUUGACUCCAAGGAUCCGGGUUCAAAUCUCGGCAGGACCU
rnacentral:tRNA from 1 species